rnacentral:rRNA from 1 species
CCUACGGGGGGCUGCAGUAAGGAAUAUUGGGCAAUGGAGGCAACUCUGACCCAGCCAUGCCGCGUGCAGGAAGACGGCCCUACGGGUUGUAAACUGCUUUUAAUAGGGAGUAAGGUUAGUUACGUGUAACUAAUUGCAAGUACCUAUAGAAUAAGGAUCGGCUAACUCCGUGCCAGCAGCCGCGGUAAUACGGAGGAUCCAAGCGUUAUCCGGAUUUAUUGGGUUUAAAGGGUGCGCAGGCGGACUAAUAAGUCAGUGGUGAAAUCUACAUGCUUAACAUGUAUCGUGCCAUUGAUACUGUUGGACUAGUAUGCAAAUGACGUAGCUGGAAUGUGUUAUGUAGCGGUGAAAUGCUUAGAUAUAACACAGAACACCGAUCGUGAAGACAGGUUACGAAUUUGUAAUAGACGCUCAGGCACGAAAGCGUGGGGAUCAAACAGGAUUAGAUACCCCGGUAGUC